UGGGAAUGUGGCCUACUGGUAGAGUGUUUGUUUGCCUCAAAUACAGGAAGCCCUGGGUUCAAUUCCUCAGUACCAUAUAAACAGAAAAAGCUGGAAGUGGCGCUGUGGCUCAAGUGGUAGAGUGCUAUCCUUGA